rnacentral:rRNA from 1 species
GAUGAACGCUGGCGGUAUGCUUAGCACAUGCAAGUCGAACGGACUCUUCGGAGUUAGUGGCGGACGGGUGAGUAACGCGUGAGAAUCUGGCUUUGGGUUCGGGACAACCACUGGAAACGGUGGCUAAUACCGGAUGUGCAGAGAGGUAAAAGAGAAAUUGCCUGAAGAUGAGCUCGCGUCUGAUUAGCUAGUUGGUGAGGUAAAGGCGCACCAAGGCAGCGAUCAGUAGCUGGUCUGAGAGGAUGACCAGCCACACUGGGACUGAGACACGGCCCAGACUCCUACGGGAGGCAGCAGUGGGGAAUUUUCCGCAAUGGGCGAAAGCCUGACGGAGCACUACCGCGUGAGGGAAGAAGGCUCUUGGGUUGUAAACCUCUUUUCUUAGGGAAGAACAAAAUGACGGUACCUAAGGAAUCAGCAUCGGCUAACUCCGUG